rfam:Struthio camelus australis contig43661, whole genome shotgun sequence.
CUAUAAAAGAUGUAACAGAUGCAAACUGUAAAACAAGGGCAAUUAACCCUUGCUCUUCUGAACAGAAUCUCUCCUGUCCUUCCCAUCUAUUGUCCUCUCCUGCACUGCAAGUUUUACACCAAAUGUCAAA